rnacentral:lncRNA from 1 species
AGCCACUUCCAUAGCCACCUUCUUCUCCAUAGCCACCGCUUUCUCCAUAGCCACCGCCUUCUCCAUAGCCACCGCCAUUUCCAAAGCCCCUACCUUCACCAUACCCCAUAGGCUUAACUGUUUGGUCAGGAUCUUCUGGUUCACUCGCCAGGGACUGCACUUUAUGAUCAGGCUUUUCUUUGUGAUCGAGCAUAGUUUUAGGAUCAGGUUCUUCUAGCUCACCCCACAUGGUUUGCAGUUCAUGAUCAGGCAUGACCUUGUCCUCAGGCUCUUCUGGUUCACCCGGCAUGGACUGCAGCUUAUGAUCAGGCAUGACCUUGUCCUCAGGCUCUUCUGGUUCCCCGGGCAUGGAUUGCAGUUUAUGAUCAGGCAUGAUCUUGUCCUCAGGCUCCUCUGGUUCACCCGGCAUGGACUGGAGUUUAUCAUCAGGCACGACCUUGUCCUCAGGCUCUUCUGGUUCACCCGGCAUGGACUGCAGCUUAUGGUCAGGCUUCACUAUGUGCUCAGAUUCUACAUUGAACAUCUCAUGAUCUUGCACGCUCAAACUAGGCUUCACAACAUGGUUCAUAUCUAGCUUCAUUGAGAGAUCCUUGAGAACCCUGCGUGCCAAAGU